GCGCUGCCCAUGCUGCAUGCUUCGCGCGACGGUCGGCGGGUCGGUCGGUCUGUCUGUCUGUCUUUCUGUCAUCUUCCUUGUGUGGCUCACCAGACCCUGCGGUGGAGUGUAUGUGGGCUGUGUAGGUUUAGGUACCUAAGCGUGAUCUUGCCCUUUUAUGAGAUGUCUGAGAGUAAACUGAAUCUGUUACGAAUGUGGAGGCAGGGGUUGCUAAAGGCAACGUUGUGAAAUUUCUGUGAGUGGCUGAGCCUCACAGGGAGAAAAAAAAUGAAGAAUGGACAAGGUAAGGCUUGAAAGAUACAAAGCCUCCAAGGCAGGAAGAGUCAGCUUUUUUCCUUUGAGGUAUAUUGCGCUAAAUAGUAUAUGCGCUGAAUGUGCUAAAUGGCCACGUUCUGCCUUCCUAGGGGUGUUGAAAUGUACGUUUCAAAUGUUCUCACCACAAAAACUGCUAAGUGUUUGAAAUAAUGGUAUGCUAAUUAGCUCAAUUUAGUUACUUUGCAUUGUACUCAGAAAUCAUUAACAGCACUUUAGUUCAUAUGUGUGUAUAUAAACUUAUAUAUGAAUUUACAGUUAAAAAUGCCUUUUUUAAAACAGCUUGAAGAAGUCCCGAUCAAACCUUACCUCACUUGAGCCAUUUAAACAAAACAGCACUGGGCAGCAAGGGGCUCUUUUGCAGUAUUUGUCAAAGCUAUUGGCAAGGCCGAUGGUUAUCAAAAGCAUUAGCAGUUUAAAAUGAAAACGAUAUACCACUCAGCACACAUGAAGUAGGAACUAGAAUCUGGGAACACAGAUAAUUAAGACAUGGUCUCUGUUCUCAGGUCACUGCUGUUGGUUCUUGUCCAUCUUGCAUGCUCUCACCCUAGUCCUCUGCUCACAUACAUCUUUGUGCACAAAUAACCCAAUAAAAACUUAGCCAGAACUCCCUAGUAUUGAAAUCCCUGGGCCCAGCACCUCAGGCAGGCCUACAACAGAGAGGCCUCUCUUUUCCCACUCUUCCUCAGCAGUUGUCCCUACCAUGGUCCUGAGACAUGCUGUGCAGUGCAUAUUAUGCUCCUCCCAGCACUCCACAGUCCCUAACCCGGUUCUCCAGGCCUUCCCUGUUCGCUCUGGUCCUCAAUUAUCACGUUCUUCUGUGACAUCUCAAAGAUUAACCAUAGCACCAUGUCUCCAGUCCUCAUCAGUCUAUGUCAGAAUUCCACAAGGUUACAAACUCAUGAUGGCAGUGCCCUGCACUAGAGUCCUAAUCAAUGCUCAAUGCCAUGUUAUAAUAAGCACCCCAUAAAUAUCUGAAGCGGAGGCAUGAGAAAAACACGACUUUCUUAACUUGAACUUUCUACCUCUCUCUAUAAACCCAUCCUAAGAAGCAAAUAUUCUCUUCUGGGAAACAACCCCAGAGAAUGGAAGAGGAUGUUCAUAGAAUAAGCAAUACAGACCUUCUUGAAGUCAGAGACCCUGCCUUUAUUUAGCUUCACAUGUACCUUAGCAAAAAGCAAACAUACUUCACCAAAGUUCUGGAGCACUGUAUAUUGGCUACAAAGAGUGAUUCUUAUCCCAAAACAUGAAAUUUUGUGCAUAGGAUACUGGGCCCUAACAACAAAACAAAAAAUAAUGGAAGGAAAAAAAAUAAAAGCCUUAGGGUGAUAAAGAAAACAACAUGAAACAAAGUAGAAAGACUGACAGAAAUUCUAAAAUGUAAAUCAGAGGGAAAAUGUCUUACAUAAAAGUCGUUUGUAGGGACUCCUCUUGCACAAGGAUUACUGUAUGUGUAAAUGUGGGUUGCCAUGCCAAAAAGUUCAGGUUACUUAAUGAAAAUUGUUUUGGAAACCGGUGACACCCUAAGCAAUCUCUUUUAUCAACAGAGUGAAUUAUAGUCACCAGUCCAGCCCGUCAAGAUGGAGCAAUGAGUGAAUCCACUGCCUGAUUUAACACAACAAAAAGCAAACAGGCAGUACACGCAAGGAAGAGAGGUGGGCAGACAGCGAGAAGAGAGCGUCUAUCGAUAUGAUGCACGAGUCUGACUCUAAGCAGCUUCUCGGUCCAAGCGUGAGCCUUUUCCAUGCAGUUGAACAUGGCUAAACAAACCCACCUUACAGAUGAACAUCUACACUGGUGUCCUGGCCUGAGUUCGUCAAAGAUGGUGAUGCAGGCACACGGUACUCCGAGAGCAGGCCCAGUGGGCAGCUUUGGGAACACGCAGGGACAAUCAAGGAGGAGACCAGGAGCCCAUCUCCAGAUCUUCAGCCCCCAGCUCACCUCCAAGGCCCUGUUCUCAGAACUCCCCCAGCAGAGAACAGCACUCUGGGUAGGUUUAUCACCAGGCUGCACCUGUGGGAUUUGGUGCGCAGGGAGGCAGAAUGCUACCUACGGGAGGGACAUAGUUCCUGAGACGGAGUAAAGAGGAAGUAGUUGUCACUGCCAGUGGGGAGCAGGAAGUAAAUGCUGGCAAGGGACUUCCUGGAGAUGAAGUGAUCAGUCCCUCCUCCCGAAACAGCCUCUUCAUUGCAGAAAUGGAACAGAAAUGUUCCAGAACAAGAGUCACAUGGCUCUCUCUUGCCGUGAGCUUGGACAUGGGUCAAGAACAUCUGGGAUGUCAGCAUGAGCAACUCAGUCUUAAAGACCACUCAGCCCAGCUUUCUCCUCUUGUUCACAGACCCUGAGCCCCAAAGUGAGCAGGUCCUUGGCCCAUGCAGGGCCACUGCUGCAUGCGCCCUCAAGUGAGGCAUGCAGAUGCUGUGGUUUGCCAAACAGCCCUGUCUUGACUGACCCCCACUCCCUUCUGAGUCUAGUCCUUUGUCUUCUCCACAGCUGCAAACGGCCUGUUUGUAUGCUGCUUUUAAUGUCUGAUAUCCCAUUCAGCCUUAGCUGCUGUGAGGGCAACUGGUUUUUCUCUCUGCUCUGUUCCCUGUGCUGAAAACACAGUAAGUCCAUCACAUAAUCUCUUUUCUCAAAGUCAUUUCAUGAACAAAAUAUUGUACCCAUUUUACAGAUGGGGAAACUAAGGUUUAAAUGCAAAGGAGAAACAUAGGAUUCAGUUAGAGAUAUAAAAAACAAAACCUUUUUCCUUACGUGCUCUACUAUGAUUCUAGUAAGAUUAACUGAGCAGGGUCAGGCAGUCUAUGGAAGCAGGAGGUGCCUAGUGGGGGAAGCAGAUCUUGACAGAGGGUGAAGCUUAGACCUCAAAGGGUUUCAUUUGGAGGUCUGUACCUACUUAACCACCAUGUCCACUCAGCCAGGCUCACAAGCUGACACAGAGUCAGCACUCACAGCUCACAGGCAUGAAAGCAUCUUCCGGAGCAUGUGGGACCCUUGCCAUGCUCCUGCUAUUAGCUGUCACUCAUGUGCUGUUUCUUCUCUCUGCUCCACCCUGUCACUGUGCUGCGAAAACACAGGACUCUGAAAUCUCCGUUUACUGAACAAACUUAUACAUGUUCCUUGACUUGCAGUCUGCUUAUCCCUGAAAUGGGUUGACACAUUUCUUCCCCAGCUUGGUCUGAAGAUGGAGUCGGUCAAUGAAAAGCACUGGGAGGAGUGUUGAGCAGGUAGAAGAUGGUUCUCCAUCAGUGAGGGGUGAGAAUACUACAUGUCAGUAACUGUGCCGCUCCAGGGCCUGGCUGCCAUGCUAAGCCUGCUCCCUGCCCGCCCGAAGCUGUUGGUCUGGCAUUGGCAAUAGAUCAGAAACCAGCAAUCACAAGACAGCCUGGAGUAGCCCAGGACAGGAAGUUCAUCGACUCCUGACUUGCUUGCAGAGAGAGUAGACACACUCAUCAGACAGAAACAGACAUAGUAGGCAUUAACUUGACCAGACCCAGGAUCGGGGCAGAGCGAGGGUGCUUUUAAGCAGAACGUAUUCAAUGUGAGGUAGUAUGAGUAUGGAGGGUCUCAGAGCUCAAGUACCGUCCCUUUAGCAAGACAGAGAAGAAGAAGAGUGAAGGAGACGGCCAGCAGAGCAAGCAGAACCCAGGUCAGCCAGGCCAUAGGAAGGAGGAAAUGUUCCCCAAACAGCAGAAAAGAAUCAGGCAGGGAGGUUAGCCCUGCCAUGGCCUAUCCUCCACCCCUGUCAGUCAUGCCCCUUAAGUGAUGAAGAAGAGCAUGAGCCACUCUGGUAAGCUCCUCAGACCUAUGACUGUUGCUCCCAAAAGGCCAGUGGGGCCCCCACAAAUGCAGCUCCUGGGAAACCCACAGAGUAGAGAGCAAGGAGAGACCUCCAUCUGUGUAGAAGCAUAUGCAACAGAGCUAUCCUCUCCUUCCACCACAGACAACAAAGUAGAGACAACCUAGAUCCAAACAUUUGAGAACUGCGACACCAGGAGAGGCACACCUGGGAAUGAAGAUGGUGACCAAGAAAGGCUAUCUGUAUGCCACCUCCAGGUCUGACCUAACGAUUAUGUCCUUUCACUGGCUCUCCUCCACCCUGGAGCCGAGCUCUCGUCUGUAGAAGUGUCCAUCACAGAGCUCUCUACCAGAUGCCAGCUCGGAAAACCUCUUUGUGUUGAGAAUGCGAUGGCAUCAGAACAGUUACGGCACGUCCAACACAGAUCUCAGUCCAACUGGGAAACUAACUUGGACGUGAAGUGCUUGGCUCAGAGCUUCUCCUUUAUUCUUCUAUUUUGCCGGAAUACGGAUACAAGGACUUGGAGUCUUAUCCCUCAACCGCACAUUUGAAGGUCGUGUCCCAUUUGCAAAUCAGAUUUAUGUUUCAAGUGAAAGCAAUUUUUUUUUUCUCUGAGCCAGGGUAACAGAUGGCAGAUGUCUACAGAGUAUGCAGACCUCAAGAAGAAUUGCUUGGGGUGCAAACAAACCCAUGCAACAGCUGUAUUACAAACACCCCCGCAUGUGACCCAGGCAGCAAACACCUUCUGCCCAAGAGUGUCACUUUUCAGAAAUGUGCCAUGAUGCUCAGCUCUCUCUCCUUAGACUUGCUUCCUCCACCUUCAUCUACUCAUUCUGUGUUCCACUUCAUUUCUUUCCCAGACUCAACCUAUCCCCAUAUCUAAAGCCAUUGUACCCUGAGAAAUUGGUCCCCACGUUCCCAGUUGCU